UACUAAGACCAUACCACCCUGAAUGCUCCCAAUCUCAUCUGAUCUCGGAAGCUAAGCAGGGUAAGGCAUGGUUAGUACUUGGAUGGGAGAAAGUGCUGCAUGCAUUUGGCAU
rnacentral:rRNA from 1 species